GCCAAAUUGCUCCACUAUACUUUCAUAUUGUGGUGGUUAUGUUUUUUGGGUUUAGGCUGCUUUUAUGAGCUGAAAAAUUGUGAAAGUACGUAGCUUUACUCCGGAAGCCAGUAUAAGCUAUGAACCCACGAGGAGGAAAAAACAAUUUUAAUGUAUAUUGCUUUAAGUGCGGUAAGUCACCACGAAGUAUAUGCAGUCUUUACUUCCGACCCGGCAUAGACCAUGAGCUCUCGAGAAAAACUGACCGCAUCAGAAGGAACAAACUCCAGACACACUCUCCUUAACUGUAACAUUCGUGUGACAACAACAACUUCCUUGUUGAAGUCAGACCAAUUCUGGACACAGUGGUAGUGAGAGAGAACGGUAUGGCAGUACCCUUCACUUGCUCUCAGUUCCUCUUUGUCCUCUGCUCAUUCUGGUUGUGCUUGACAAGCCUUUCGGCUCAGCGCUAUACCGUGGGAGCUCUUUAGCUGACUGAGGCCGGAAGCAGCCGCGUUGGGUUGCAGGGAGGUGCGGCAGGAGAGGCACGGGCGGGAACCUGUACUGCACGCAGGUGGGCGUGGUGAGCCUUGCACUGAGAGCAGCAAGGGGCUUAGCACCUGGGCCAGCAGCUAUGGAAGGUGUGCUGGAUUCCCCCAGCAGUGCUGGCCCACGAGUUCUGUGUUCAAUUUCUUGCUGGGCCUUAACUGCCUCCUGGCAGGCUAUUUGUAUGGCUCAGGACCAGCAGCCCGUCAUGCCUGAGUCUCCCCAUCUUUUUGUGGCCUCCUGUGCCGCUUGAGUUUCCCAGAUGAGCGCUGCCCCCUCUUUCAGGGCACCUGGUCCCAUCCGCUGCCCAAGGGCUGAGGAGUGGGGGGGUGCGUGGUGUGGGACUCAUAGGUAGCUCCACCUACAGCCCCAGUGUGUGAUUCCACUGGGUGAAGCCAGUUGGGCUCCUGAGUCUAGUGGGGACUUAGAGAAUCUUUGUCUAGCUAAGGGAUUGUAAAUACGCCAAUCAGCACACUGCGUCUAGCUCAGGGUUUGUGGAUGCACCAGUCGGCACUAUCUGGCUCAAGGUUUGUAAAUGCACCUAUCAGCCCUCUUGUCUGCAAAGUUUGUAAAUGCACCAAUCAGCGUUCUGUCUACAAGGUUUGUAAAUGCACCAGUCAGCACUCUGGCUACAAGGUUUGUAAAUGCAUCAAUCAGCACUCUGUCUAGCUCAGGGUUUGUAAAUACACCAACUGACACUCUGUGUCUAGCUAAUCUAGUGGGGAGGUGGAGAACUUUUGUGUCUAGCUCAGGAAUUGUAAAUGCACCAAUCAGCACCCUGUCAAAACGGAC
rnacentral:lncRNA from 1 species